GGAUUUGGAAUAACAGCUGUGACAUCUGCCACCUGCUGAUCAGCAGGGUUGACUCCGCAACUACCUGCUUGUUCCCUUCUCUUCCCUGCCCCUCUGUGUAUCUCUCCUGAGGCUUUCUGCUCAAACAAGAGAGGUAACCUUCUCCUGUGGAGACGGGCCAUUCUUCUCUCAGUGGAACAUGAGUGGCUAUGCUCGCCCGCCAGAACCACCUAACACUCUCUGAAGCCCUAACUCGGCAUGAUUGCUUGGUGGGAAGGACAUCCAUUAGGUUUCUUUACCAACCUGUUAGUUUCUUCAUGGGGAAUUUAAAU
rnacentral:snRNA from 1 species